rnacentral:misc_RNA from 1 species
GUGAAUCAUCGAAUCUUUGAACGCACAUUGCGCCCGCCAGUAUUCUGGCGGGCAUGCCUGUUCGAGCGUCAUUUCAACCCUCAAGCCCCCGGGCUUGGUGUUGGGGCUCGGCCCGCCCCUAGCGGCGCGCCGUCCCCGAAAUCUAGUGGCGGUCUCGCGAUAGCCUCCUCUGCGUAGUAGCAAUAUCUCGCACUGGAACGUCGCAAGGCCUCGCCGUUAAACCCCCCACUUCUGAAAGGUUGACCUCGGAUCAGGUAGGAAUACCCGCUGAACUUAAGCAUAUCAAUAAGCGGAGGA